UUCAUAGUUUUGUCUUAGGUGUGGUACCAACAGGGAUGCGCCUUGUCACGGACCUCAUGGUAACGAAUUCUUCUGCAGAAGAUGGGUGUAUUCCCACCUAGAGAAAAAAAAUCAAGUCAUGCAAUUAGAGAAAUAUAUAUUUAUAAAUGGAACUUGCACAACUAUUUGAAAUGUGUUAGUAAAUGCGUUUAGGAGUGGCAAUAUCAUUAAAGCCACUAGUACCUAAGAAAAUAUUAACAAAAAUAAUACAAGAUUCAUGAAGAUGUGA